AGGAUCAUUAUUGAAUUUAAUGAGGGGAUAUUUGGUUGUAGCUGGCUCAUGAAUUUGGGCAUGUGCACACCUAUCUCUUUCAUCCACACACACCUGUGCACUUGUGAGGCAGAUGGGGAAUUUAUUGAUUGUUUUUUAAGAACAAUUGGUGCUGGACCCUCUGUCUACUCAAUACAUAAACUCAAUUUAUUUAGAAAUGAAUGUAAUGGAUGUAACGCAUCUAAUACUAAGUUUCAACAACGGAUCUCUUGGCUCUCGCAUCGAUGAAGAACGCAGCGAAAUGCGAUAAGUAAUGUGAAUUGCAGAAUUCAGUGAAUCAUCGAAUCUUUGAACGCACCUUGCGCUCCUUGGUAUUCCUUGGAGCAUGCCUGUUUGAGUAUCAUGAAAUCUUCAAAGUAAAUCUUUUGUUAACUCAAUUGGUUCUACUUUGGUAUUGGAGGUCUUUGCAGCUUCACACCUGCUCCUCUUUGUUCAUUAGCUGGAUCUCAGUGUUAUGCUUGGUUCCACUCAGCGUGAUAAGUUAUCUAUCGCUGAGGACACUGUAACAGGUGGCCAAGGGAAAUGCAGAUGAACCGCUUCUAGUAGUCCAUUGACUUGGACAAUAUUUUUAUGAUCUGAUCUCA
rnacentral:misc_RNA from 1 species